rnacentral:rRNA from 1 species
GAUGAACGCUAGCUACAGGCUUAACACAUGCAAGUCGAGGGGCAGCACAGUGUAGCAAUACACGGGUGGCGACCGGCGCACGGGUGCGUAACGCGUAUCCGACCUUCCCGUUACUCUUGGAUAGCCUUCCGAAAGGGAGAUUAAUACAAGAUGGUAUUCAAAUUCCGCAUGUUAUUUGAAUUAAAGAUUUAUCGGUAACGGAUGGGGAUGCGUGACAUUAGAUAGUAGGCGGGGUAACGGCUCACCUAGUCUACGAUGUCUAGGGGUUCUGAGAGGAAGGUCCCCCACACUGGAACUGAGACACGGUCCAGACUCCUACGGGAGGCAGCAGUGAGGAAUAUUGGUCAAUGGUCGGAAGACUGAACCAGCCAAGUAGCGUGAAGGAUGAAGGUUCUAUGGAUUGUAAACUUCUUUUAUACGGGAAUAAAACCUCCCACGUGUGGGAGCUUGUAUGUACCGUAUGAAUAAGCAUCGGCUAACUCCGUGCCAGCAGCCGCUGUAACAC